UAAAGAUUUUAAUUGUUGAAUAUUUGUCAUUUUAAUUUUAGCUACAAUUCCUCAAUAUUGCCAGCGACCGAAGGGAUGGUGUAAAUCCAGCUAGGGUCCAUGCAGGUAGCCAACGUACUGUAAG